GGGGAACCAGGACUUUUACUUUGAAAAAAUUAGAGUGCUCCAGGCAGGCCUAUGCUCGAAUACAUUAGCAUGGAAUAAUAGAAUAGGACGUGUGGUUCUAUUUUGUUGGUUUCUAGGACCGCCGUAAUGAUUAAUAGGGACAGUCGGGGGCAUCAGUAUUCAAUUGUCAGAGGUGAAAUUCUUGGAUCUAUUGAAGACUAACUACUGCGAAAGCAUUUGCCAAGGAUGUUUUCAUUGAUAAGGAACGAAAGUUAGGGGAUCGAAGACGAUCAGAUACCGUCGUAGUCUUAACUAUAAACUAUGCCGACUAGGGAUCGGACGAUGUUAUCUUUUGACGCGUUCGGCACCUUUCGAGAAAUCAAAGUGCUUGGGCUCCAGGGGGAGUAUGGUCGCAAGGCUGAAACUUAAAGAAAUUGACGGAAGGGCACCACCAGGGGUGGAACCUGCGGCUUAAUUUGACUCAACACGGGGAAACUCACCAGGUCCAGACACAGUGAGGAUUGACAGAUUGAGAGCUCUUUCUUGAUUUCGUGGGUGGUGGUGCAUGGCCGUUCUUAGUUGGUGGAGUGAUUUGUCUGCUUAAUUGCGAUAACGAACGAGACCU
rnacentral:rRNA from 1 species